ACCCGCUGAAUUUAAGC
rnacentral:rRNA from 2 species